rnacentral:rRNA from 1 species
CCUACGGGUGGCAGCAGUGGGGAAUAUUGCACAAUGAGGGAAACCCUGAUGCAGCGACGCCGCGUGAGUGAAGAAGUAAUUCGUUAUGUAAAGCUCUAUCAGAAGGGAAGAAAAUGACGGUACCUGAGUAAGAAGACCCGGCUAACUACGUGCCAGCAGCCGCGGGAAUACGUAGGGGGCGAGCGUUAGCCGGAUUUACUGGGUGGAAAGGGAGCGGAGACGGCAGUGCAAGUCUGGAGUGAAAGGCGGGGGCUCAACCCCCGGACCGCUCUGGAAACUGUACGGCUGGAGUGCAGGAGAGGUAAGUGGAAUUCCUUGUGUAGCGGUGAAAUGCGUAGAUAUUAGGAGGAACACCAGUGGCGAAGGCGGCUUACUGGACUGUAACUGACGUUGAGGCUCGAAAGCGUGGGGAGCAAACAGGAUUAGAUACCCGGGUAGUC